AAGAAAAAAGUUCUCAUUUUCCAGAAAGUCAUACAUUUUUUCAUAAUCAACGUGGGACAUUUACCUGGCAAUCGGAUGUGUACUAGAAAAUGGAUGGUUUGAAUUAAAAAUACAUUUUUAAAAUAAUUAAAUUUUUAAAAAACUGAAGUUUGAACUUUUAAAAAUCUGAUCGCUUUUCGGAGAAACUGUAUACUUUCAAGGGAGGAAAAGUCAUCCAAAAAAAGUGAAUAUUUUUGAGAGGAAAAAAAGGAGUCGGCUAGUUUUGAGAGAAAUAUAUGUGACACAUGUUAUUUGGCUGAAUAUUGGACAUUUCCAAGAAAAAGCGUCUAAUUUUCAUAAUUUUCCAGAAAAGUUGUAUGUCUGAGAAAAAGCCCUGACAUUACCAAGCCAA